rnacentral:rRNA from 1 species
UACGGAGGAUCCAAGCGUUAUCCGGAAUCAUUGGGUUUAAAGGGUCCGUAGGCGGUUUUGUAAGUCAGUGGUGAAAGCCCAUCGCUCAACGGUGGAACGGCCAUUGAUACUGCAAGACUUGAAUUAUUAGGAAGUAACUAGAAUAUGUAGUGUAGCGGUGAAAUGCUUAGAUAUUACAUGGAAUACCAAUUGCGAAGGCAGGUUACUACUAAUAUAUUGACGCUGAUGGACGAAAGCGUGGGGAGCAAACAGG